UGAGUUUGAUCCUGGCUCAGAUUGAACGCUGGCGGCAUGCUUUACACAUGCAAGUCGAGCGGCAGCGCGGGGGCAACCCUGGCGGCGAGCGGCGAACGGGUGAGUAAUGCAUCGGAACGUGUCCCGUAGUGGGGGAUAACCCGGCGAAAGCCGGACUAAUACCGCAUAUGCUCUACGGAGGAAAGCGGGGGAUUCGCAAGAACCUCGCGCUAUGGGAGCGGCCGAUGUCCGAUUAGCUUGUUGGUGGGGUAAUGGCUUACCAAGGCGACGAUCGGUAGCUGGUCUGAGAGGAUGAUCAGCCACACUGGGACUGAGACACGGCCCAGACUCCUACGGGAGGCAGCAGUGGGGAAUUUUGGACAAUGGGGGCAACCCUGAUCCAGCCAUGCCGCGUGCGGGAAGAAGGCCUUCGGGUUGUAAACCGCUUUUGUCCGGAAAGAAAGGGCAUCUCCUAAUACGGGGUGCUCUUGACGGUACCGGAAGAAUAAGCACCGGCUAACUACGUGCCAGCAGCCGCGGUAAUACGUAGGGUGCGAGCGUUAAUCGGAAUUACUGGGCGUAAAGCGUGCGCAGGCGGUUCGCAAAGUCUGAUGUGAAAGCCCCGGGCUCAACCUGGGAACUGCAUUGGAAACUAACGGGCUCGAGUGUGGCAGAGGGGGGUG
rnacentral:rRNA from 1 species